rnacentral:lncRNA from 1 species
AUGUCCUCCCAGCCUGUCAACCAUUGCUGCAGUUACGGACACCUGGAAAAAUUGAGGCUUGUGCUCACCAUCCGAGCAUCUCUGGAAAAUGAGAGGCCAGGAUCCCCUGGGGGAGGCUGGAGAGAGACCGAGAAGCCAGGCCUGCCACCCUGGCUCUGCAUGCACGAAGAAAUAAAAUGGCAACCGUGUUGGGAUGCCCCACACCAAGAUGUAGGCAUCAAUGGUGAUUGCUCAUCUGGCAACACGUGA